UACGUAGGGUGCGAGCGUUGUCCGGAAUUACUGGGCGUAAAGAGCUCGUAGGUGGUUUGUCGCGUUGUCCGUGAAAACUCACAGCUCAACUGUGGGCGUGCGGGCGAUACGGGCAGACUGGAGUACUGCAGGGGAGACUGGAAUUCCUGGUGUAGCGGUGGAAUGCGCAGAUAUCAGGAGGAACACCGGUGGCGAAGGCGGGUCUCUGGGCAGUAACUGACGCUGAGGAGCGAAAGCGUGGGGAGCGAGCCGG
rnacentral:rRNA from 1 species